rnacentral:rRNA from 1 species
AGGGAUCAUUACCGAGUUUACAACUCCCAAACCCCAAUGUGAACGUUACCAAACUGUUGCCUCGGCGGGAUUUCUGCCCCGGGCGCGUCGCAGCCCCGGACCAAGGCGCCCGCCGGAGGACCAAUUUACAAACUCUUUUGUAUAUCCCAUCGCGGAUUCUUUACAUUCUGAGCUUUCUCGGCGCUCCUAGCGAGCGUUUCGAAAAUGAAUCAAAACUUUCAACAACGGAUCUCUUGGUUCUGGCAUCGAUGAAGAACGCAGCGAAAUGCGAUAAGUAAUGUGAAUUGCAGAAUUCAGUGAAUCAUCGAAUCUUUGAACGCACAUUGCGCCCGCCAGUAUUCUGGCGGGCAUGCCUGUCCGAGCGUCAUUUCAACCCUCGAACCCCUCCGGGGGGUCGGCGUUGGGGAUCGGCACUUACCUGCCGGCCCCGAAAUACAGUGGCGGUCUCGCCGCAGCCUCUCCUGCGCAGUAGUUUGCACACUCGCACCGGGAGCGCGGCGCGUCCACGGCCGUAAAACAACCCAAACUUCUGAAAUGUUGACCUCGGAUCAGGUAGGAAUACCCGCUGAACUUAA